rnacentral:lncRNA from 1 species
CUUGGGUGGGACUAUUCUAAGAAAGAAAGCAGUCUGGCCUGGCCAGUUAUUUCUGCCGCCUGUGCUGGGGAGCUCUAUGAUCUCUUCAGUUGCAACUCAAAGGAUUUCCCAACGAAGAUGUAGCGCACAGCAGAUCGAGGUGGCUGCGCCUGGCCAGGCGGACUCUCACCUGGUCCCCAGUCUCUGCGGGCCCUACAAGCCCCGGGUCCUGGGGUGGGUCAGCCUCGGUGGAUGAGAGCCAGAAGAACAACUCCAGUUCUGUGCCCCUGCCGUGGGCUCUAGCGUGAGCAAUGCAGGGCAGAGCACAAGGUAUGUGACGUUAACAAGCGCAACUGUCUUACAGCCUGGCAGCAUCCCGAGGAGUUUCUGCUACAAUCUCCAAGAGAUAAAGGAGCACAAAAUGUAGCAGCCUCAACAAGUUCUGUGGCAGCAGAGACCCCCGAGGGUCCUUUCCUCAGUAACAUUGCCUCCGCACCCGCUGCCAGAUCAGCCACUCUCC